UCAAGCUACAAAGGGCGCAUGGUGAAUGCCUUGGCAUCAGGAGCCGAUGAAGGACGUGAUAAGCUGCGAUAAGCUUCGGGUAGGCGCACAUAGCCAGAGAUCCGAAGAUUUCCGAAUGAGGAAACUCACAUGGGAAACCCCAUGUAUCCAUAAGUGAAUACAUAGCUUAUGGAAGGUAAACCCAGGGAACUGAAACAUCUAAGUACCUGGAGGAAGAGAAAGAAAAAUCGAUUUUCUUAGUAGCGGCGAGCGAAAGGGAAAGAGCCCAAACCGGAAAUUUAUUUCCGGGGUUGCGGACAGAACAUUAACGAGAAGUUAUGGAUAAUUGAAGAUGACUGGAAAGUCAAGCCAUAGAGUGUAAUAGCCACGUAAGUGAAAUUCAUAAUAAUCAAGUUCUGAUCCAGAGUACCACGAGACACGUGAAACCUUGUGGGAAGCAGGGAGGACCACCUCCCAAGGCUAAAUACUACCUGAUGACCGAUAGUGAAGCAGUACCGUGAGGGAAAGGUGAAAAGAACCCCGGGAGGGGAGUGAAAUAGAACCUGAAACCGUGUGCCUACAACCGGUCAAAGCCCCUUAUGAGGGUGAUGACGUGCUUUUUGUAGAACGAGCCAACGAGUUACGGUAUGUAGCAAGGUUAAGUACUUAAGGUACGGAGCCGAAGGGAAACCGAGUCUUAAUAGGGCGACUAGUUGCAUGCCGUAGACCCGAAACCGGGUGACCUAUCCAUGGCCAGGUUGAAGCGGGGGUAAAACCCCGUGGAGGACCGAACCACGUUGCUGUUGAAAAAGCAUGGGAUGAGCUGUGGAUAGCGGAGAAAUUCCAAUCGAACUCGGAGAUAGCUGGUUCUCCUCGAAAUAGCUUUAGGGCUAGCGUCGGAUAUGAGUAGUGGAGGUAGAGCACUGAAUGGGCUAGGGGGCAUAGCGCUUACCGAACCUUAUCAAACUCCGAAUGCCACAUACUAUUAGUCCGGCAGUCAGACUGCGAAAGAUAAGUUCCGUAGUCAAAAGGGAAACAGCCCAGAUCGUCAGCUAAGGUCCCAAAGUGUAAGUUAAGUGGAAAAGGAUGUGGGAUUUCUAAGACAACUAGGAUGUUGGCUUAGAAGCAGCCACUCAUUAAAAGAGUGCGUAAUAGCUCACUAGUCGAGAGAUCCUGCGCCGAAGAUGUCCGGGGCUCAAACUUACCACCGAAGCUACGGGUUCACACUUAUGUGUGAGCGGUAGAGGAGCGUCGUAAUCGGGCUGAAGUCGUACCGUAAGGAGCGGUGGACUGAUUACGAGUGAGAAUGUUGGCAUUAGUAGCGAGAUGUGGGUGAGAAUCCCACAGGCCGAAUAUCUAAGGUUUCCUCAGGAAGGUUCGUCCGCUGAGGGUUAGUCGGGACCUAAGCCGAGGCCGAAAGGCGUAGGCGAUGGACAAUCGGUUGAUAUUCCGAUACCACUACUGAUCGUUAUUAUCGAUGGUGUGACGGAGAAGGAUAGAGUGUGCUAGCUAUUGGAUGCUAGUCUAAGCGUUUAGGGAGUUAGGAAAGGCAAAUCCGUCCUAACAAUUCUGAGGCGUGAUGGGGAAGGUUCUACGGAACCGAAGUACUUGAUUCCAUGCUUCCAAGAAAAGCAUCUAGAGAGAGAUGUAGUGCCCGUACCGCAAACCGACACAGGUAGAUGAGGAGAGAAUCCUAAGGCCGGCGGAAGAAUCACAGUUAAGGAACUAGGCAAAUUGACCCCGUAACUUAGGGAGAAGGGGUGCCUGCGAGAGCAGGCCGCAGAGAAUAGGCCCAAGCAACUGUUUAGCAAAAACACAGGUCUCUGCUAAAGCGAAAGCUGAUGUAUAGGGGCUGACGCCUGCCCGGUGCUGGAAGGUUAAGGGGAACACUUAGCGCAAGCGAAGGUGUGAACUUAAGCCCCAGUAAACGGCGGCCGUAACUAUAACGGUCCUAAGGUAGCGAAAUUCCUUGUCAGGUAAG
rnacentral:rRNA from 1 species